UCCAGGNGUAGCGGUGAAAANGNGUAGAGAUCUGGAGGAAUNNUCGGUGGCGAAGGCGGCCCCCUGGACAAANNACUGACGCUCAGAUGCGAAAGCGUGGGUAGCAANCAGGAUUAGAUACCCUGGUAGUCCACGCCGUAAACGAUGUCUACUUGAAGGUUGGGAUCUUGAAUUCUGGCCUUCGGAGCUAACGCGUUAAGUAGACCGCCUGGGGAGUACGGUCGCAAGAUUAAAACUCAAAUGAACGGGGGCCCGCACAAGCGGUGGAGCAUGUGGUUUAAUUCGAUGCAACGCNAAGAACCUUACCUACUCUUGACAUCCAGAGAAGCCAGCAGAGAUGCAGGUGUGCCUUCGGGAACUCUGAGACAGGUGCUGCAUGGCUGUCGUCAGCUCGUGUUGUGAAAUGUUGGGUUAAGUCCCGCAACGAGCGCAACCCUUAUCCUUGUUUGCCAGCACGUAAUGGUGGGAACUCCAGGGAGACUGCCGGUGAUAAACCGGAGGAAGGUGGGGACGACGUCAAGUCAUCAUGGCCCUUACGAGUAGGGCUACACACGUGNUCAAUGGUGCAUACAGAGGGAAGCAAGAGCGCGAGCUGGAGCGGAUCCCAAAAAGUGCAUCGUAGUCCGGAGG
rnacentral:rRNA from 1 species